GUAUUUUUAGCUAAAAGCAUAAAAGUUGGGCAUUAUUAACAAGCUGUAAUUCCCAGAACAGGAUAUGUCUUCAUUGCCUGUGGUAAAGAGUUUGGCUCUAGGGUUGGAGAGACCUAGGUUAAUGGGCCAGUUUUUUCCUUCUCCUAAGUGUGGAGAAUCUGAAAUGCUUGGAACUAGAAGUGUUUUAGACUUAGGAAUUUUAAAAUUUUGAAUAUCCUGGGGCUGAGAUCCAAGUGUAAACACAAAAUUUAUUUGCAUUUGAUACAUCCUUGUAUACAUAACUCAAGGUUGUUUUGUACAGUAACUUAUUUUGUUUUUUUCUUUUGAGAUGGGGCCUCUAUGUUGCCCAAGCUGAUUUUGAACUUGUGGGCUCAAGCAAUACUCCUGCCCCAUCCUUCCACAUAGUUGGAACUUCAGCUGUAUGCCACCAGGCCUGGAUUUUUAGAAUUUUAUUCUGCCACCUUAUUGUUAUUAUUAUUGUAGUGGGAUUGAACUCAGGGCACUUCACCACUGAACCACACCCCAGCCUGUUUUAGUUUUUGAGACAGGGUCCUGCUGAAUUGCUAGACCCUUGAUAUGUUGCUGAGGCUCCCUUGAACUUGCAAUCCUCCUAACUCGGCCUCCCAAGCAUUUGGGAUUACAGGUGUGCACCACCGUGCCUGGCUGGAAUUUUCCAUUUGUUGCAUGGAGUUAGAGACCAUCAGGGUUUGGAGUUUGGAUGUUUAGAGUACAGGUGCUCAACCUGUUCUUGUCUUCCACAGGCCGCUCCCCCCAUCCCCAUGCCUCAGUUUGAUCUUUUGUAAAGCAAGGGCAUGGAAAGGGUGCCUUGUGGGUAUGAAGCUCACAGAGGAUGAAGAAUCCAAAUGACAGGAACUCUGCAGCCCAUAGGGGAGGGAGGAGCCUUGGGCAAGUUUCCAUUUUGGGUGACAAGAUGCUCUUUCUAGGAUACUGCAUAGGGUCUGACGAGAGCAAGAGCUUAGGUCAGCAGUGGCCACAGAGAAACCAGAGCCACCAGAAGUGGUAUUGGACCCUCAUAAACACACCUCAGGUUGCUGAGCCUUGAGUAACAGGGCUGAUGCAGGCCCUCAGUAUGGUACCAGGACCAGGGUCCAUCAGAUGUGAGAUUCACUGUUCAUGCCACUAAGAAAAAUAAGGUCAGGGAGGGAGGAGUUCUUACUACAGAUAGGGCUGUUUUUUUUUUUUUCCUUCUUUUUCUUCCUGAGGCAGAGCCUGCACUGCCGCAGGUCCUCAGCACCGUGUCACCACACGGCUAUCAUGUCAAGGCCAUGGGAACCCUUUGUCUGUCUCUACAGGUUGGUCACGCUUUGACCAGGAGAGAGCAGAAGUACCCUGAUCCUCCUAGGUGUCAGGGACCUCUCCCCAUGCCUGGGUAAGGGACGGCAGAGUUGGGGGCAUCACAUUCUCCUCCACAAAACUCCCAACGGGUCCUCCCUUCCCUUGCACCAUCCAGGCCCCUGGUUGCUGGCUGGGGGGGGGGUAACUCGAUCUGGGUCAGAUGUUGCAGUAUGAGGUAGUGUCUAGCUGAGCAUCAUGGUAUUUUAUGAAGCCCGAAAUGUGAUCGGUACUGUUGUCACACUUUAGCAUCCCCAACAAUCCCCUUGCAAAUGAGUAAAACAGAGCCUCCCCAAAUGCCUUCCCCCUGACAUCAAGGAAAGCCCGUGGAACCCAGCCCGGGCCGAGCCAUUUGACCCCUGAAGGGCUGUGGAGCCUGGGGAAGGACGGGAGGUGCUUUUCCAGUGCACUGGGGAAUGUGCUGUUGGUCUUGUGUUCUCUGUGGCCUGUCUGUAAAGUCAGCACUCUCCUAAAAUGCAAACUCACCAGCACGUGGGGCCUGCUGAGCCUAAGGUCCUUCUAGUUACAUGAAAGCUAUGAGUCAGAGAUCUCCAAUCAGAUGCCAAUGGGCCAGGUAACAGGUGAAUCAAGCCCAGCAGAGACUGUGGGUACCUGCAAGUAGAUGCCCCACAGCUCAGCUCCAAAGGACAGCGCGGAUACAGGGAUGUGGGAAAGAGCGGGACAGACAGAGCUCCCCAAAGCCGACCUGUUGCCCAUCAUUCCAAAAACAUGUUUUGCAACCCAGGGCAGGCUAAAUGAGGAGCUCUCUGCUCCUCCCUGACUGAACUUACUACCAGCGUAAGUAUCCUUCUAGAGCUGCACUGCCCAUAGAAUUUUCUUUGAUGGUAGAAAUGAAUGUGUGAAGAAUCCAGUAUAGAACUUCCUGGGUACAGGUGGCCACUGAGCACUCAAGGAGGACUAAGGAAAGACAGGAGGCCAUGGGGCCCAUGGGUAGUGGAAACAGCAGGCCUGGGACCCAGUGUUCAGUCAGUGAUGGUCACAGACUUUGGGACCCAGAGGGUAGCCUCCAGAAGCUAACACUGGGAGAACACGGGGUUCUUGGAGACAAAGUCAGUAGAGCAUCCAAGCAGAGGGGACAGUGAGGCAAAGGCCUCCACCUCAUCAUGGCCAGGGCUGCCAUUUUUCCUGGAGGCUGGGAGGCUGGGGAGGCUAGGUUUGCACCUACAACACUCAGUGUCACACACAUCACCCGCAGUCCCUUCUUCCUUGCAAAACUGUCUCAAUUUGGAUGAUAAAUUUUCUGCUCGACCUCUCUCAGGGCCAACCAGCUGCCUAAUAGGAAACUAGAGAGAAAGAGAGAGGAGACCCCACAGGAACACCUCUUACCCCCAGUGGCAAAGCCCAGCCUCGGACUCCAGCAUGGGCUCCCGACCCAGCUCACCCACCCCCAUGGCUAGAGGAGUCAGCUCUGCAAGCCACCAUCACAUCAACCAGGCCUGUUUCUUCUUUCUCUUCUCCAAAUUCCCCAUAGGAUUGUGACCAGAUCCACGUUGAUGAUGUCUCAUCAGAUGACAAUGGGCAAGAUUUAAGAGUUUGAUCCACGUCCCUUUGGAGACUUCAUGAUAUUCGUUAGCUGCACCUACAACUUCUCCACCAAUGGCUUCCACAGUGCAGCCCCGGGGGCCGGCCUGUGCCUAGGCACCAGGGUGUAUGGCGGUGUGGACUGGAUGUGGAAUCUGGCCUUCCACUACCGGCGGGUGAAGGAGAUGUACAACACCUACUGGGACAACAUGGGCGGUGAGUGCAGGGACUUCCACAGAACGGACUGGGCAGUGGGAGAGCAGCGACAGUCCCCAGGACCAGCCGGUAGCAUUUGAUUCCCUGACUUUGAGGGGGAGGAAGCCUGGGACAGAGGGCACCUCCUGUCCCUGAACACAGGGCCCCCAGAGCAUAAGCUGGGCGUGGUAGAGUACCCCUAGCUGGACCUGAGGCUCACCAAGGUGCUCCCCAUGGCAGCAUUACUGAGCCCGGAGUUGGCUGGGUUUUUUGUCUCAUGAAUUCAAAGAAUGAGACUCGCAGAGUCCGAGGUGAAAGGCAGCUGUAGGAACUUACCAAGGCCAAGUGAAGUAAGCUCCAGAGGCAGGAGAGGACCCCAGAGGACUGGUCGGGCAUUUUCCCUUCCUUGGAAAGGCUGCGGACUCCAGGUCAUGUUUUUCCCGAUUUUAAAAUAAACAUUCCCCAAGUUUCUCAGCAAAUCCCUGCUGCUCAGGGGCCAGUCUCCUCCUCCUGAUCUCACCAGAAGCCUCCACCUGAGGACUCAUGAGAAAUGCAGGGUCUGUGCCCCCUCACACCUGCUGAUCAAAAACUCAAGAGCUGGGCCAGGGUCUGUUCUCCAGCAGGCAUCCAGGCAAUGCUGGGGCCCUGCGGCCUGAGGGCCAGGGCUGGGUCCAGAGCAGUGCAGAGCUGGACAGAGAUGCACAACCCCAGGCCCUGUCCCAGGCCACUAACUCAGAAUCUGUGUCUUUAAUAUGAUUCCCUCAGUAACAAUGGGGCACCAGGAGCCACUGGUUCCCAAACAAGUUUCCCUGUCUCCCUCACUCAAGAAUGUCCACAGCCAAUUCUCUGGGUUGGCUGAUUCUCUGGGUCUGGCUGCAGCUGCCUGAGGCUUAGGGUCCUCGGGUUGUCACAUGCAGCCUUUCCUUGCCACCUGAAGGAGGUGUCUGAAGGGGGCUGGAGGUGGGUUGCUGGGCAAAGGCCAGGUCCUGGGUCAGUAGUUCAAGGAUUCUCCAGGCCAGUGGUUCUCAAUGGGAGAACCUCAAGAGGUUGUAGGGUCUCCAGAUGGCCUGGCACCUGGAGGUGAACGAGGGUCUAAGACAGCAGGGCCGGGUCUGCCAUGUCCUGGGCCCUCCAUUCCCAGAACCAGGAAAGUCGGUUUUCAUCCCGGACAGGACCCGUCUCUGCCCCAUGCUGACACAUCCUAGCUGUGGGGCCUUCGACAGGAGGGAGCCGUGUGCUUGGGUAUGGAGACAGUGGAGGCCCUCUGCUCCCCCGCCACAUCAAGGCCCAGGAAAUGCCCUGGGCUUUGUCAGUCUGCUCUGUUCUCCCCAAGCUGGGGUGAGGUACCCUGGUGUCAACAGGGCACCACCGCUGGCAAGAGCCAGCCCUGCCCCCCAGCUACUUCAGCACCAGAGAAUGAGCCAGGUGCAGGACCCUGGCCUCCAGCCAGAGGCUAGCACAGACCCUAGGGUGCCCUGGGGGGGGUGCUCAGAAGGGGUGACUGCAGGACACAGGCUGGACAGGAGGCACUUGGGAGUCACAUCCCAGAGGCCGAGGGUGGACUUGGAGCCUGUGCCUGACAUUGUCCUCUCUUUGACAAUUCCAAGAAGUCACAUAGCACUUCCACCGCUCACCUGCCAAAACUUCCAUCACAGGAGCACACAUAGUUGAGCAGAAGUUGGCAAUGGAGACUUUUAGCCUAGAGAGCACCAGCCCCUUAAAAACCAAGGGUUUUAUUACAAAUGAGGAUUUUAAAAAUUUUUAAUAUUUACUAAAAAGAAGGAUGGAUGGUGGGAGGCCAAUCACUGUGUUUCCUCUACAAACAGCAAAUGAAAAAUCCCUGAGAACAUCGAUUCUUCUG